rnacentral:rRNA from 1 species
UACGAAGGGGGCUAGCGUUGUUCGGAAUUACUGGGCGUAAAGCGCACGUAGGCGGCUUUGCAAGUCGGAUGUGAAAUCCCUCGGCUUAACCAAGGAAGUGCAUCCGAAACUGCAGAGCUUGAGUACUUAAGAGGAUCGCGGAAUUCCCGGUGUAGAGGUGAAAUUCGUAGAUAUCGGGAGGAACACCAGUGGCGAAGGCGGCGAUCUGGGAAGAUACUGACGCUGAGGUGCGAAAGCGUGGGGAGCAAACAGG